rnacentral:rRNA from 1 species
UGGAACGGCCAUAGUGGCUUGGCACUACCCAUACCCAUUUCGAACAUGGAAGUCAAACAAGCCCACGUUUUUAGGUGUACUCCAUUGCGGGGGAAACUAAGAUCGCUGUUCCAC